UACGAAGGGUGCAAGCGUUACUCGGAAUUACUGGGCGUAAAGCGUGCGUAGGUGGUUUGUUAAGUCUGUUGUGAAAGCCCCGGGCUCAACCUGGGAAUGGCAAUGGAUACUGGCAAGCUAGAGUGCGGUAGAGGGUAGUGGAAUUCCCGGUGUAGCGGUGAAAUGCGUAGAGAUCGGGAGGAGCACCAAUUGCGAAGGCAGCUCGCUGGGACGUUACUGACGCUGAGACGCGAAAGCGUGGGGAGCAAACAGG
rnacentral:rRNA from 1 species